rnacentral:misc_RNA from 1 species
GAUGAAGAACGCAGCGAAAUGCGAUAAGUAAUGUGAACUGCAGAAUUCAGUGAAUCAUCGAAUCUUUGAACGCACAUUGCGCCCGCUAGUAUUCUGGCGGGCAUGCCUGUCCGAGCGUCAUUUCAACCCUCAAGCCCCCGGGCUUGGUGUUGGGGAUCGGCGAGCCUCCGCGCCCGCCGUCCCCUAAAUCUAGUGGCGGUCUCGCUGUAGCUUCCUCUGCGUAGUAGCACACCUCGCACUGGGAAACAGCGCGGCCACGCCGUUAAACCCCCAACUUCUGAACGUUUGACCUCGGAUCAGGUAGGAAUACCCGCUGAACUUAAGCAUAUCAAUAAGCGGAGGA